GACGAGCGCUGGCGGCGUGCUUAACACAUGCAAGUCGAACGGAAAGGCCCUGCUUUUGUGGGGUGCUCGAGUGGCGAACGGGUGAGUAACACGUGAGUAACCUGCCCUUGACUUUGGGAUAACUUCAGGAAACUGGGGCUAAUACCGGAUAGGAGCUCCUGCUGCAUGGUGGGGGUUGGAAGUUUCGGCGGUUGGGGAUGGACUCGCGGCUUAUCAGCUUGUUGGUGGGGUAGUGGCUUACCAAGGCUUUGACGGGUAGCCGGCCUGAGAGGGUGACCGGCCACAUUGGGACUGAGAUACGGCCCAGACUCCUACGGGAGGCAGCAGUGGGGAAUAUUGCACAAUGGGCGGAAGCCUGAUGCAGCAACGCCGCGUGCGGGAUGACGGCCUUCGGGUUGUAAACCGCUUUCGCCUGUGACGAAGCGUGAGUGACGGUAAUGGGUAAAGAAGCACCGGCUAACUACGUG
rnacentral:rRNA from 1 species